GACCGUGCAAAGGUAGCAUAAUCAUUUGCCUUAUAAUUGAAGGCUAGUAUGAAUGGUUUGACGAGAAUUAAGCUGUCUCUUUUCAACUAAAUAUAAUUUUAUUAAGAGGUGAAGAAGCCUGUAUCGGAUUGAAAGACAAGAAGACCCUAUCGAGCUUUAAAUGACUUAAUAGAUUAAUAAUAUAUUUAUAAAAGAAUUAAACUAUUAAAAAUUUUAGUUGGGGCGACUGGGGAACAAAACAAGCUUCCCUUAUAAUAUAAAAAUAUACAGAUUUUGAUCCAGUAAGUCUGAUUAAAGGAAUUAGUUACCGUAGGGAUAACAGCAUAAUCCUCUUUGAGAGUCCUUAUCGAAAGGGGGGUUUGUGACCUCGAUGUUGGACCAGAAUAUCCAGAAGAUGCAGCCGUCUUCAAUGGUUGGUCUGUUCGACCAUUAAAAUUCUACGUGAUCUGAGUUCAGACCGGCGUGAGCCAGGUCAGUUUCUAUCUUCAAUUACUUUAAUAACUUUAGUACGAAAGGACCAAGUUAUUGUAACAUUUUACUACCAGUUGAGCAAGUAUAAAGGUAAAUUAAGUUGUUUACAGCAUCAAAUUAGCAAAGAUUAAUGCAAUUGACUUAGGAUCAAUAGACAUAGGUGGAACUCCUUUAUUUGAUAAUUUAGAAAUAAAGAUGGCAGAAUAA
rnacentral:rRNA from 1 species